CUCUCGGUAGCCAAGUUGGUUUAAGGCGCAAGACUUUAAAUCUUGAGAUCGGGCGUUCGACUCGCCCCCGGGAGA
rnacentral:tRNA from 1 species